CCAAUAGCGUAUAUUAAAGUUGUUGCAGUUAAAAAGCUCGUAGUUGAAUUUCGGGAUCAAUUUGUCGGUCGUGCCUCGGUACGCACUGGCUUAUUGGUUUCUCCUUUCUGAAGAACCAUGAUGUCAUUUAUUUGGUGUCGUGGGGAAUCAGGACUGUUACUUUGAAAAAAUUAGAGUGUUUAAAGCAGGCUCACGCUUGAAUACAUUAGCAUGGAAUAAUGAAAUAGGACGUUUGAUUCUAUUUUGUUGGUUUCUAGGAUCGACGUAAUGAUUAAUAGGGAUAGUUGGGGGCAUUAGUAUUCAAUUGUCAGAGGUGAAAUUCUUGGAUUUAUUGAAGACUAACUACUGCGAAAGCAUUUGCCAAGGAUGUUUUCAUUAAUCAAGAACGAAAGUUAGGGGAUCGAAGACGAUCAGAUACCGUCGUAGUCUUAACCAUAAACUAUGCCGACUAGGGGUCGGAUGAUGUUAAUUUUUUAAUGACUCAUUCGGCGCCUUACG
rnacentral:rRNA from 1 species